UGUUGGACAUCCCUGCUUUAGAUCACUCACUACAUAUGGCAUCAGGAAUCAGUUGAACCAACAGGUUUACAGCACCCCUUUACAUUCAUUUCAUUGUUUUUCCCAUCACACAAAAGCUAACUUUUAUGUGCACCCACCUCCUCCCCAAUUCAUCUUUGUGAUUUGCUGAGUGUCUGUUGAACAAUACUUACUGAUUUGCUUUGGGGGUCAUUUUCACCCUAACUGCAUCUGCAAGUGCUUGUGUCCUCACCUCAGCAGGUGGCCAGGCUUAAUGGCAGCUCUCAAUCGAGAACCUUUAGAUGACCCCUUCCCUCUGUUUACAGUAAGAGUUUUCCAAAAUAUGCAGUUGAGAGUUGCAUCUGUCAUCUUUAUAAUCUAGCAGCCCAACAGCUCUAAACCCGAGGCAUGUCUGUCGCUAAUUUUCUUUUCUUUUCAGCACCAGAUCAACACCUGGUUGGUCUCUUAGGUCAUUGUGACUUGUUGAUUGUGAUGCUGAACAAUGUAGUACAACCACUCUGCUGUUUUAAAAUUACUGAUGUAUAUUUGUAGGAGAGGGGUUAUCCCUUCUCAAAUUGUUUAAUUAUUAGGUGCCCCACCCUCAGAUUGGCCUAAAUGUUUUUAGUAAGUAAAUAAGUUUUCUUACUAAAGAAUGGACAGUGGUUGAAAAACUCAGGACAAUGGUUGAGAUACCAACACCAAAUUUACAGGGUUCUGGAUGGAAAGUAACAAUUGCUAACAUUUUAAUUGUCCAUGGGAUUAGCUAAGAGGAAACCAGACUAUGGUUGGCACAUCAAAAAGGAAGGAAGGAAGGAAGGAAGGAAGGAAGGAAGGAAGGAAGGAAGGAAGGAAGGCCUAAGGCAUUCCUUGAAAAUCCUGAAGUCUCAACAGCACACCAUUACUCAAUGGUGGGUUAAGUGCUUUGUAUGUAGAAGGUCCCAGGUUGAGACCACGGCAUUUUCAAGUAGGACUGGGGAAUAUACCUGUCUGAAACCCUGGACAGCUACUAUGAAUCUGUGCAGACAAUACCAACCUAAAGAGAUCAACAGCAUGACUUGGUUAAGCAGCUUUGUAAAAUCGGACACUUUCUUCAAAACUGUAUUUUAUGGCUGAUUUUAAUUGUUGUUCACCACUUUAAGUGGUGCACAGGUAUCAGAAGGUUGGGGUAUAUAUUUAUACAAAAUAAAUGAAAAAGCAGCAAUCUCAGACCACAAACCUAAGUCUGAGAUCAUCCUUUAUUAUACUGAAACUAAAGGUGGUGUGAAUACCUGUAAUGAUACGCUUCCAAAUAUAUAAUCAAACAGCAACCAAAGUUCGUUUCUCCAAUCUAUUAGACAUUGCCUGCUCAAAUGCCUACAUUGUUUGAAAUUGCUUGGAAACUGAAACCACAAUGGAGUGAACAUCCCCAAAUACCUCUCUCUUUCCUCACAGACCUGGGACUUGAGUUCAUCAAAUCCUAACUGGACUCUAGAAACACAGACAAUUGGUCUUGGUCAAGUUGAGAGAAGACACCUCAGAAAUGAUAGGGCCUGCCAUCAAGAAAAGGGGCAGGUGUCAUCUCUGUCAAAGACACGAGAAUCACAGUAACAAUGCAUUUCAUGUAACUGUUUUGUCUGACCAACUCAUGCAUAUGGUGAUUACGCAUAUGCUGCUUAAUGCAGUUGGUAUGCAAAAAAUGUUGCAGCUGUUGUUGUUACAGGUAAUUCA